CAACAGUGCUCUGUGCACUUCCUGUGUAUCUGAGAGAAGACACCUCAAAAUUCUUUAAAACAUGCACGAUUGAAGAUGAUUCAGAAGAGCCAGAUGUAGAUUCAUUAAGUUGCCUGUAGUUGCCCUUUUGACAAUCGUCCGAGAACGCCCAGACAUUGCUGUUCAGUACAAUCCAGAGAAGAUUUCGAUCAUCCUUGAGAAUGAAGUUGUCAUAACAAACCUUCAGAGACUCUGAUGCUUUCCUUUUGAUGUUUGGCUUAAUCUAUGCAUUGGAUCUCUCAUAUCCAAAAGAGAUGGCCAACACAUUUGAAUUUAUUCAGAAGGUUCUUUUGGGUCUUGAUGAUGGCAAACUUAAGCCAAGGGUGCUGGCUCUAAAGAAUGACUUGCUGAUUCACGCACAGUAAUUUUAUACUGUUAUCUUUGACCAGGUGUGCCUUUUUGUUGCACAGAACUGUUGUCACAGUUCUUGUUGGCAUAAUGGCUGUUUAGGUAAUAUUUCAAUGUAUUUUAUUUGGCCUGGUGUGCUUUUUUUAUUGCACAGAACUGUUUUAAUGUCUCAUGUUUUAUAAUAAAUUUUUGUACUUUGUUUAAUGA